rnacentral:rRNA from 1 species
GACGAACGCUGGCGGCGCGCCUAACACAUGCAAGUCGAACGAGAGAUGAGGAGCUUGCUCUUCAAAUCGAGUGGCGAACGGGUGAGUAACGCGUGAGGAACCUGCCUCAAAGAGGGGGACAACAGUUGGAAACGACUGCUAAUACCGCAUAAGCCCACGGCUCGGCAUCGAGCAGGGGGAGAAGGAGCAAUCCGCUUUGAGAUGGCCUCGCGUCCGAUUAGCUAGUUGGUGAGGUAAUGGCCCACCAAGGCGACGAUCGGUAGCCGGACUGAGAGGUUGAACGGCCACAUUGGGACUGAGACACGGCCCAGACUCCUACGGGAGGCAGCAGUGGGGAAUAUUGCACAAUGGGGGAAACCCUGAUGCAGCGACGCCGCGUGGAGGAAGAAGGUCUUCGGAUUGUAAACUCCUGUUGUUGAGGAAGAUAAUGACGGUACUCAACAAGGAAGUGACGG